rnacentral:rRNA from 1 species
CCUACGGGAGGCUGCAGUGGGGAAUAUUGCACAAUGGGCGCAAGCCUGAUGCAGCCAUGCCGCGUGUGUGAAGAAGGCCUUCGGGUUGUAAAGCACUUUCAGCGGGGAGGAAGGCGUUAAGGUUAAUAACCUUGUCGAUUGACGUUACCCGCAGAAGAAGCACCGGCUAACUCCGUGCCAGCAGCCGCGGUAAUACGGAGGGUGCAAGCGUUAAUCGGAAUUACUGGGCGUAAAGCGCACGCAGGCGGUCUGUCAAGUCGGAUGUGAAAUCCCCGGGCUCAACCUGGGAACUGCAUUCGAAACUGGCAGGCUAGAGUCUUGUAGAGGGGGGUAGAAUUCCAGGUGUAGCGGUGAAAUGCGUAGAGAUCUGGAGGAAUACCGGUGGCGAAGGCGGCCCCCUGGACAAAGACUGACGCUCAGGUGCGAAAGCGUGAGGAGCAAACAGGAUUAGAUACCCGGGUAGUC